rnacentral:SRP_RNA from 2 species
GCUGGGCGUGGUGGCGGGCACCUGUAAUCCCAGCUACUCAGGAGGCUGAGGCAGGAGAAUUGCUUGAACCCAGGAGGUGGAGGUUGCAGUGAGCUGAGAUCAUGCCAUUGCACUCCAGCCUGGGUGACAGAGCGAGACUCUGUCUCAA